GAUGAACGCUGGCGGCGUGCUUGACACAUGCAAGUCGAGCGAAGCAGUUAAGUUGAUUUCUUCGGAUUGAUUCUUAAUUGACUGAGCGGCGGACGGGUGAGUAACGCGUGGGUGACCUGCCCCAUACCGGGGGAUAACAGCUGGAAACGGCUGCUAAUACCGCAUAAGCGCACAGAGCUGCAUGGCUCAGUGUGAAAAACUCCGGUGGUAUGGGAUGGGCCCGCGUCUGAUUAGGCAGUUGGCGGGGUAACGGCCCACCAAACCGACGAUCAGUAGCCGGCCUGAGAGGGCGACCGGCCACAUUGGGACUGAGACACGGCCCAAACUCCUACGGGAGGCAGCAGUGGGGAAUAUUGCACAAUGGGGGAAACCCUGAUGCAGCGACGCCGCGUGAGCGAAGAAGUAUUUCGGUAUGUAAAGCUCUAUCAGCAGGGAAGAUAAUGACGGUACCUGACUAAGAAGC
rnacentral:rRNA from 1 species